rnacentral:rRNA from 1 species
CCUACGGGAGGCAGCAGUGGGGAAUAUUGCGCAAUGGGGAAACCCUGACGCAGCAACGCCGCGUGAGUGAGGAAGGACUUCGGUCUGUAAAGCUCUGUUAAUGUGGAAAAAUGGUAGUUGGUCUAAUAGGCCGAUUAUUUGAUGGUACACAUAGAGGAAGCACCGGCUAACUUCGUGCCAGCAGCCGCGGUAAUACGAAGGGUGCAAGCGUUGUUCGGAUUUAUUGGGCGUAAAGCGCGCGUAGGCGGACCUGUAAGUCAGAUGUGAAAUCUCGGGGCUCAACCUCGAAACUGCGUCUGAAACUGCAGGUCUAGAAUCUCGGAGGGGGAAGGGGAAUUUCGCAUGUAGGGGUAAAAUCCGUAGAUAUGCGAAGGAACACCAGAGGCGAAGGCGCCUUCCUGGACGAGUAUUGACGCUGAGGCGCGAAAGCGUGGGGAUCAAACAGGAUUAGAUACCCUGGUAGUCCACGCUGUAAACUAUGAACACUAGGUAUUGGAGGAUUUGACCCCUUCAGUGCCGUAGCUAACGCGUUAAGUGUUCCGCCUGGGAAGUACGGUCGCAAGCAAAACUCAAANAGAUAGAGCGUGAGAGUGCGACGGACGACGACGAGGGAGGAGG